AACGAACGCUGGCGGCAGGCCUCAAACAUGCAAGUCUAGGGGGUGUAGCAAUACAUCACCGGCGGACGGGUGCGUAACGCGUGGGAAUAUACCUAUCGAUUCGGAACAACUGAGGGAAACUUCAGCUAAUACCGAAUACGUCCUAACGGAGAAAGAUUUAUCGUCGAUAGAUUAGCCCGCGUUCGAUUAGCUAGUUGGUGGGGUAACGGCCCACCAAGGCGACGAUCGAUAGCUGUUCUGAGAGGAAGAUCAGCCACACUGGGACUGAGACACGGCCCAGACUCCUACGGGAGGCAGCAGUUGGGAAUCUUGGACAAUGGGGGAAACCCUGAUCCAGCCAUGCCGCGUGAGUGAUGAAGGCCUUCGGGUUGUAAACGUCUUUCGCGCACGACGAUAAUGACGGUAGUGCGAGAAGAAGCUCCGGCUAACUUCGUGCCAGCAGCCGCGGUAAU
rnacentral:rRNA from 1 species